GCUGGGUGCAGUGGUGCACACCUGUAGUUCCAGCUACUCAGAAGGUUAAAGCAGGAGGAUCACUUGAGCCCAGGGGCUCUGGGAUGUAGUGUGCUAUGCCAAUUGGUUGUCCACACUAAGUUCAAUAAGGUGACCUCCCAGGAAUGGGGAGACCCCUCAGGCUGCCUAAGGAGGGAUGGGCUGGCCCAGGUUGGAAAUAGAGCAGGUCAAAACUCCUGUGCUGAUCAGUAACAGGAUCUCACCUGUGAAUAGCCACUACAUGCCAGUCUGGGCAACAUAGUGAGACCCCAUCUCUU
rfam:Otolemur garnettii contig184839, whole genome shotgun sequence.